rnacentral:tRNA from 1 species
GUGGGUGUAGCUCAGUUGGCAGAGCACUUGACUGUGGCUCAAGAUGUCGCGAGUUCAAAUCUCGUCACCCACC